UUAUAGACAGUGAGAGAGAGACAGAGAGAAAGGUCUUCCCUCCAUUGGUUCACUUCCCAAAUGGCCCCUACGGCUGGCGCUGCACCAACCCAAAGCCAGGAGCCAGGUGCUUCUUCCUGAUUUCCCAUGCAGGUACAGGAGCCCAAGCACUAGGGCCAUACUCCACUGCCCUCCCGGGCCACAGCAGAGAGCUGGACUAGAAGAGGAGCAACCAGGACUAGAACCCGGCACCCAUAUUGAUGACAGUGCACGCCGCAGGCGGAAGAUUAACCAAGCAGAGUGGACAGUGAGAGAGACAGAGACAGAGAGAAAGGUCUUCCUUUGCCUUUGGUUCACCCUCCAAUGGCCGCUGCGGCUGGUGCACCACGCUGAUCCGAAGGCAGGAGCCAGCACUCCUUCAAAUUUGUCAUGCCGGGCCUCACUCAUCUCACUGAAGUACCUGCCAUGAGACGAGGGCCUGAAAAGUGAAGCAAAACUUCCAGUUAUGGUCAGCAGAGGGCAGAAGAGGCAAGUAGCAAGUGUUUGCCGUCAAGAUUUAGGAUUCCUCCACUUGUCAGAAGCAAAAAACAGUUACUGGUACAAAACAGUGUAAUACAUAUUAGCAAAAUUGAUAUUUUGAGAAUUGAUUACUGUUUACAGCCCUUGUCUCUACUGUUCUGGAACAGUGGGCUUUUUUUUCUUAAUUUUUGUUGACUAUUUUACUUAGUGGAGGAUUAAUCUUAUGAUUAUAAAAUAAACUGAGUGUAUUGUAAAAAUUAACGAAUUAAGAAAGGAAGGAAGAGGGAAAUUAGGAGAGUGGGCAGGAGGAGGGGAGAAAGUAUCACUAUGUUCCUAAAUCUGUAUAUAUAAAUACAUGAAGUUUGUUCACCUAAUAUAAAUUAAAAAAAAAUUGUCAAAAAGAAAUCAGUUAUUGAAUGCAAGGGGCCAAAGUCGUAGAAUCAGUAGGAAAAAUUAACAGUGACCCAGCGUGGAAGUUCGGUCGACCAGGCAGUGGACACUGUUGUUAGAAGGGGCUACAGUUGCCAGCCUGGAAUCUGUUACAGAGAUGGGAACAAGUAGACAUCAGAAGAGUCAUCAUUUAGAGCCCUUUCUCAGUCCUGACGGCUACCCCCAGCCUAUCUAAAGCUGCUUAAAGUGACAGGCCUCUAAGAACAGCCCUGGGAGUAUAUGCAAACCAGCUGGCUAAGAGCUGGCCACAACCCUGAGGGGUCCAGAUGCAGCCCUGUGAGUAAGUGGGUGUGAAUGAACUCCAAAUCCAGAUGCAAAAGGUGGUGAGGCAUUUCUCAGGUAUAUGCCAAUUAAAUAAUUUUCAAAUGUACUUAAACGUGAUAUGGUUCAAUAUAUGAAAAUUUUCCCUUCUCUAUGGAGGAAAACAUAAUUUCAUUGUGGAAACACUGUGUGACUUUGGAAUUUAACAAACCUGAUUCUGAAUUCUUCAGUCUGUGGUUCUCAGUUGCUUAACUCUACUGAGCCCCAUUUUUCCAUCUGUAAAAAUGAAAGUAAUGAUUUCUGUCUCACAAAGUGAUGUUAAGGAAAUGAGAUGAUGUCCAUAAACUGUGUGGCAAAGAUCAUGGCACCUUAUGUGUAAUGGAUUUGAUUUACCACCACUUGUUCUCUCUCCCUUCUCUUUGGAAUGGAUAAACAUCUGUUUGCUAUUUUGCGAAGUAAAGUCUUCUUGUCUCCUAUAAGCAUACCUGAUGUUAAUGGAGGACUUACUAUGUAAGGUAUCAUACUAAGUUUCUGUAGUAUUAUCUCAUUUAAUAGUCAUGACAACCUUCUGAGAUACUUUGGCCAUCAUCUCUGCUUUGCCAAUGAAGACACUGAGGCUUCAAUAGAAUAAUUGAUUUUCCCGGUGUACCAUAGUAAAUAAUGAAAGGGGGUUCAAAACCACCUACAGUGAUUCUAAAGCUUGUGCUUUUGUCAUGACACAACCUACUUUUUGUAUAUAGACCUUUCUUUAUCAUCCAUUAAAAAUUCAAGGGAAAAGUAGACUUUAAAAAAUUUCAUCUUUGUAAUUUGCUUAAAUGUUGAUAUUAUUAGCAUUGCAUCACCUUAUACGAUCUCUUCUAUUGGAUGUUUAGGGUGGGAAGUUUAGUAUUAAAUGAAAUAAAUGAAAAUAGAUUGCUAUGGACUGAAUUGUGUCCCCUCCCCCCUCCUCCCCAAUAUAGAUUUCCUAUAUUGAAGCCCUCAUCCUUCUCUCUCUCUCUCUCUCUCUUUCUUUCUCUCUCUCUGUCUCUCUCUCUGUCUCUCUCUGUUAUAUAACGAUUCAGUGAGAAGACGGUGUGUACAAGCCAGAAAGACAACAUAUAACAGAAACCAAUCACACUGGCAUCCUGAUCUCAAAUUCCCAGCCUCUAGCUAUGUAAGAAACAAAUUUCUGUUGUUUAAGCCAUCUAAUCAAGGGUAUCUUUUAAUACAAACCAAGCUUACCAAGUUACAGACUGUCACGGUUAUACCCUUUCAGAGCUCCUGCAUUAAAUUUUUAUUGGAUUAUAUUUUUCUUUCCAUUUUUUAAAAAAUGAUUUGUUUAUUUAUUUGAAAGGUGGAGUUAUAGAGAGAGAGGAACAGAUAUUCCAUCCACUGGUUCACUCCCCAGAUGGCCACAAUGGCCAGGGAUUGACCAAGCCGAAGCCAGAAAGCCAGUAGCUUCAUUCAAGUCUCCCACCUGGGUUCAAGAGUCCAAAGACUUGGAAUAACUUACUUCUUUCCUAUGCACAUUAGCAGAGAGCUAGAUUGGAAGUGGAACAGCCAAGAUUCAAACCAACACCCACAUGAGAUUGCCAGCAUCGAAGGUGGCAGCUUAACCUACUGCACCACACUGCCAGUCCCUCCAACUUUUUAUGUUGUGGUAAAAUGCAUAUAAUGUAAAAUUUACCAUCAGAUAAUUUUUCAGUGCAGUCAGUGGUACUAAAUUCAUUCAUGAUAUUGUACAACCGUCUCUACCAUCCAUCUUUACAACUCUUUUCAUCUUGUGAAACAGAAACUUUGUGCCUAUUGAACACUAACUGCCUUAUACCUCUUCCCCCAGCUUCUGCCAACCACCAUUCUACCUUCUAUCUCUGUGAUUUGACUCCUCUCAGUACUUCAUAUAAGUGAAAUUUUACAGCUUUUGUCUUUUUGUGACUGACUCAGUUCACUUAAAUUAAUGUCCUCAAGUUUCAUCUAUCUUGUAGCAUUGUCAGAAUUUCCUUCCUUUUUAAGACAGUACUAUACCAUUGUAGAAACACCACAUUUUGUUUAUCCAUUAAUCCAUCAGUUGCCUCAUGGUUUACUUCCAUGUUUUACACAUUGUGAAUGUGUACAGGAAUAUAUAAGUAGGAACAGGAGUAUAUAAGUAUUUCUUCUAGACUGCAUUCAGUUACCUUGGUAAUAUACCCCGAAGUGUAAUGGCUGUAUCUUAUGAUAAUUUCUGUUUUUAAGUUUUUGGGAAAUCACCAUAGCGUCUUCCAGUUACUGUCUAUUCUUGCAGGAUAGAGUAUUUUAUAUACAUCUGAUAGAUCUAGUUAGUUUAUUUUGUUAAGUAUUCUGUUUUCUUAUUUUCUGUCAUUGAAUUCAUUAACAGUGGGAUUCUGAGGUCUCUGAUGAUUAUUAUAAACAUAUGUGCUUACUCCUUCACUUGUCAGUUUUUGCUUCAUGUAUUUUGAUGGUGUGUUUUUGGUUCAUAAAUGAUUAUAAUUGUUCAAUAUUCAUGGUGCAUUGAAACUUUUAGAUUUAUAAUACCUUCUUUUAUCUCUUGCUUUAUCUUGGACUAUCUUUUUUCAUGCUUUCAUUUUCAAUCUGUUUAUAUCUUUAGAUCUAAAGGUUCUGCUGGUACAGUUGUGGUCAAGACAGAAUCAGACUCCUGGGACUUUCUUCUCUUCCCAGAAUUCUCUCAAUAAUGGGAUUUCUGAAGAAAUUAAGGGUGACAUACAUGACUAAGGACAGUUCCUAGAUCUUUCUAACAAAAUGUUUUCUUCCUUUGCUUCAGUACAAGGGGAAGAUGAUAUCAGAACAUCACAUUUUUCUAAAUGGGUGCCGAAAAAAGUCACAAUCCUGGUUAUAAAGAAUCAUUGGGAAAAAAUUGAUUAAAAAAAGGGAUUUGGGCCAAGCAUUGUGAUGGAGCAGGUUAUAUCGCAUCUUGGAAUGUCUUCAUUCCAUAUCAGAGUGCUUGGUUUGAGUUCCAACUAGUCUGCCUCUAAUCCAGCUCCCUGCUAAUGUGCCUGGGGGGCAGCAAGUUAUGGCUGCGGUACUUGGACCCCUGCCACCCACAUGGGAGACCCAGAAAGGUUUCCAGGCUCCUGGCUUCAGAUUGGCCCAGUUCUGGUUGUUGUGGGCAUUUGGGGAAAUGAACCAGCAAAUGGAAGAUCUUUCUUUGUCUCUCUGUCUCUCCUACUCUCCCUGUCACUCUAUCUUUCAAAUACAUAAAUGAAGCUUUUUAAAGAAAGGGUUUUUUUUUUUUUAAAUAAAAGUGUGACUAUUUAAAUUUAUUUAUUUAUUGGAAAGGCAGAGACACAGAUGGAGAAAGAGGGAUCUUCUAUCCUCUGGUUCACUACUCAAAUGUGCAUAAUAGCAGUGGCUGGGGCAAACCAAAGUCAGAGCUAAGAAUUCAAUCCAGUUAUUGCCUCCUGCUGCUUCCCAGGGUGUGCAUUAGUAGGAAGCUGGACUCAGGAGCAGAACCCACACUCAAACCCAGGCACUCCAAAAAGGAAUCUGCCCCAUCUUAACACCAUGCAAAAUUCCCACUCCUAUGAAUUUUGUUUCUUAAAACAGAAUCUGGUCUAUAAAUAUUAAAAUAUUAAUAUUAGUAGAGGUCCAUGAUGAAUUUGCAAAAAGGAAGAGGCUGUACUUAGCCCACACCCUCUCUAGAUAGCACUGUCAUUCUGUUUAUUUACCAAACAAUAUGUAAAUGGACCAGCAUUAUUGUGCAGCAGGUUAAGUGACCAGCUGUAACAACACUAUCCUUUAUCGGAGUACUGGCUGCUCUGCUUCCAAACCUGCCCACUGCUAAUACAUCUGGGAAUGCAGCUGAUGAUGGCCCAAAUAGUUCUGCCCCUGUCACCCAAAUGGUAGACAAGGGUAGAGUUCCUGGAUCCUGGCUUCAGCUAGGGCCAGUCCAUUAUGGUCAUUUGGGGAAGUGAACCAGAGGAUAGAAGAUCUCUCAGUGUCACUCUGCAUUUCAAAUAAAUAGAUAAAUCUUCAAAUAAAAAAUAAUUUGAAAACAAUGAAAGACGAAUUUUGAUUAGAUCACAAAAUGAAGAUGACUGUUAACUCAAUAUCAGUGGAAUUAAAAAACAGGUCUAUUGCCAAGCAUAUAAGGGUACAUCUCUAUUUUAGGAUUGAGGAAUUCUAGCAUCCUAUAAAUUUGCGUAGUUCCUUGGGGCUUUUACUUCGCUAUAAAGACUGAUGACAUCAUCGCCCUCCUCUCUUCCUCCUGAAUCUCUUUUUCCUCUCUUCUAUUCUCCUCCCUUCCCUCCCCUCCUCUUUUUUUCCUCUUCUUUCUUCUACUGCCUCCUCAUUAUCCUCCUGCUUUUCAGAGACUAACUAUUGUAGGUAUUUAAAAAUUAAAUGAAAUAACCUGUAUAAAAUAUUUACAAGUGCUUGGCACAUGAUAGGUAGUCAGUAACUGUUGUAGGAGAAUGGAAAGUUUAUGGCUUUCAGGUAACCUCGUCAUUUGAUUUCAAGAAAGUAUAUAAUUUUGAUAUUUUCUUGAGCUCAAGAAAGAAUUGUUGAAAUAACUAUGUGCAGGUCAAUGUAUGUAUAUGAGUUUCCAGAAAGUAUGUAAAAUGCCUAUACACAUAAAUAUUACCAAUAGAAGAUUUAACAGCCUGUAAAAACAAGCAGAUGUGUGUUUGUCUUUCCAAUUGCACUUGUAAUUUUAGUUUGAUAACAUUUACAGUUGCUAUGAGACAAAUGAUUUUACUAAUCAUUAAUGUUUGAUAACACUCUCCAAAUAAACAUAGAGAAAAGAUGUUUAAAUUGGAAAGAAGCCACUUUACAUCAUGUGGCAUUUUUCAGUGUUCUCUAAUCUAUAAGUACAGAUUGUCCUUCAGGUGUGCUACCUGCAAAAUUAUCCAUAUUUCAUAAAUGCCACUGAAGAGUUUUAGCUUUAACUGUUCCAUAACACACUGAAGUCAGAGACAUUUCCAUAUGAAGCCUCUUGGAUCUCAUUUUAGCAGUAGUGUUUCCCUAAGUAGCCCUAAAUCAUAGGGAGUCCCAGAAUCCUGUACGCCAUCACUUCUCGACCUUUUGGCUAAGAUCAAGUGCAGAAUGCUGUACCCAGAUUCGUCAGCCUCUGUCAUAAGGCUUAUAGCUAUUUAAAUCUAAGAUCCAUCUGAGCAUUCAAUUUGUAAAUUAAAACAGGAAGUGUAUCAGACAUCUAAGGUGGAUUGGUCAAGAAUUGUCAAACAGCAGUUUCACUGCUGACACUGUUGGUCACCUUCUGACUCCCAGCAGACAAAUGGGAGGGUUGCUCAUCAUUUAUGCAUGAGACCUUCUGACCUUGUUUUGUUUUUUAAAUUGGGUUCAAUCUGUAGGCUAAAGUAUUUUUGUUUUGGCCAUCAUCUAUGGGAAAAUGGUAUGAACCAAUUUUUUUUACCUUAUAAAAAUAUAUAUUAAAUGACUUUCAAAACAGUUGCCAACCUAGCAUGUAAGAAUAAAGCAUUGAGUAUUGUGUAUAGCAAGACAUUCAUGUGAUAAGUGUAUGAAUUUACAACCAUAUAUAAUAUCUAUAUAUAUUUAUAUAAAAAACAAGCUUGGCUAGAAGUUAAGGUUACUUACAAAGUUGUCCUAGUAAUUAUAUUUGUCAAAGUAAUUAUAAAGUUAAAAUUUCAAAUGCAUUUUUAUUUAUUUAUUUUUAAAGACUUAUAUAUUUACUUGAAAGUCAGAGUUACACAGAGAAAGAAGGAGAGGCAGAGAGAGACAGAGAAGUUUCCCAUCCGCUGGUUCACUCCCCAGUUGGCCACAAUGGCCAGAGCUGUGCUCAUCUGAAGCCAGGAACCAGGAACUUCUUCUGGUUUCCCACGCAGGUGCAGGGACCCAAGGACUUGGGCCAUCUUCUGCUGCUUUCCCAGGCCAUAGCAGAGAAUUGGAUCAGAAGUGGUGCCCAUAUGGAAUGCUGGCACUGCAGGCUGCGGUCUUACCCUCUACACCACAGCUCCAGCCCGUCAUGUGCAUUUUUAAAUCAUGUAAGCUACUUACAAAAUCAGGUUCAUCAUCCAAAGUGUUCAAAUUAACUGUAAGAAAAUGCUGCAAUCAUAUAUAUCUUCUUAAUGUGAAAUCAGUGUUCCUAGAACAUUCAUUUAAAUUUUUCAGUAGCCUUACAAGUGAUGUAACUAAAAACUGAAACUUUUACAAUUUCAUAUCUACUAUUCUUAACAGAGAAUAGGUUACAGAAACCAAAUCUUCAGAAAGGAAAUUUGAAAAAACCUAUGCUAUAGAAUCUAGAAAAUCUUAUUACAAACUAAGAUUGAUAUGUAUUUUUAAAUCCCUCUACUCCAAAUUUCUGUAUUUUUGGUCUGUCUCUUGAAGAAAAUGUUAUAAAUAUAUCAUGUACUUUUUAAUCUUUGCUCAGUCCCUUCGAUUCUUUUAGAAGCAAAUAAGACAUGAAUAGUAAAUGAAUGAGCAGUUCUCUCAAAAAUCUUUAAAAUCAAAGAAGAUACCACUGAAUGUCCUAUGGAUGGCUGUGUAGUGGACAAAGUUGGUUAGGCAACACCGGUGUCGUGUGGUACUUUUUCUUCAGCUGUCCUUGAUGGACUUGGUAGUUACCUUCCAGUAAGCACCACAGCUCAGUACUGUAGUCUGGCUUUGGUAUGGGACACUUUUUCUUAAUCUGGGACAGAUAGAAAACUGUCAUUAAGUUUUUAAUUUCUUUUGGAAAAGGAAUCAUUUUAAUGUAAUCAUCUAAUAAGCUAUUGGCUCACUUUUUGACCUUUACUGAUUUGCAUUUAUCUAAUACUUCACCCACAGAGGUUUCCACAAUAUGUGCAAAUGGAUGCAAAUAGUGUGAACUAAUAAAGUAACUUCCUUUGUUUUUGAGCAGUGAUCUUUUUAUCAGGGCUCUGUGAGCUACUUAGAGUGUAGAGAUUCAGGGACCUUAGGAGGAUUGAAGGUGCAAGACUCUCAGGCCCCUCCCAUCAAGACUCAGGUAUUUAUUUUUUCAAGCUACUAGACUAUAUCUUCCUUCAACAAGUAUUGUUAAAUAGUGGACUUAAGUUUGAAAAAUUUCUAUUAUGUUCUAAAAUGUAUUACCUAAAAAUAGUAAAUAAUUUUACAAAUUAAAUUAAUUGUAUCAGUUACUACUAGGUUGCCUGAAUCGCUGUGUAGCCGAUUAUUAUAUUUGGUGUCUCUAGAGAGGUGACCAUCUUAAAUAAAGGUUUGAUUCAUGGAGUGUGGUUGAGUUUUCCACAACCCCUAUUGAAACUGGUAUGAGGAACAGGAAUGGGGCUCUGUACCCUAAAAUCACAAACCAAAACUUUUGUGUUCACAGGGAUCAUGCAACCGAUGCCUGCUGCUCUGAACAGAAAUGCACCUAGUGUCAUGCAUGUUUUUACACUUUGAGAGUUCAUCAUAGGCACUCAACACUCUUCUUUCCUCUCCUUCUCACUUCACUCCUGUAAAGUCUCACCCAUCACCAUAAAGUUGAGAAAAUUAAAUGUUACCAAGCUGUUAAUUUACUCAAUUGUAUGAUGGAGAUGAUGUCUUAAGGAAAAUAUUACCAAAGCUUACUGGGAAAACAGACAUGCUUGUACUAUUCUGUGCCUGUCUUCUUUUACUUGACAAAUUUAUCUAAAGGUUCUCAGGUUCUAUUGCUUAAUGACUUCUUGCAGGUGAAAGGAUGCAAUUUAUUUGAGAAUAUGCGGAAUCAUUGAUGAGAGGGUUAGAGGUCUUCCAUCCAUUGGCAAAUGGCCGCUACGGCCAGCGCACUGCGCCAAUCCAAAGCCAGGAACCAGGUACUUCCUCCUGGUCUCCCAUGAGGGUGCAGGGCCCAAGCACUUAGGCCAUCCUCCACUGCCUUCCUGGGCCACAGCAGAGAGCUGGAAUGGAAGAGGAGCAACCAGGAUAGAACCCGCCGCCCCAACCGGGACUAGAACCUGGGGUACCGGCACCACAGUUGGAGGAUUAGCCAAGUGAGCCGCGGUGCCGUCCAGCCACUUUUUUUUUAAUAAAAGGGAAAUGUGUAUACUGAGUUUAUACCCAUGACAUUGAUUAUAAAACUCUGAGACUGUAUAUGGCAUUAACAACAAUGCAAGGUACCUAGUGCAGUAGUCAGUUUUCCAUCAUCAUUAUUCUGCAAACCAGCAAUGAGUAAGAAGAUUUGGUGUCCAUGUGCAUAUAGAAUUUGGAGGCUAAGGUGAGAAGAGUCACUCUCCUGAAGAAGCAAGUCCUAAGAAGAUGUAGAAGUGAGCAGUGGUGGACCUGUUGCUGUUAGAAAGAAAAUAUGACGGUCUCUGCUGGAGCUUAUUGUUUUCAUGAGUUAAACAUAUAGUCACCAUGUGACUUAGCACUUCUACUCCUGGAUAUAGACCCAAGAAAAAAUGAAAACAUAAAUCCACAAGAAUCUUUGUGCACAAAUGUUCUUAUCAGCAUUAUUCAUAAUAGCCAAAAAGUACCAACAAACCAAAUUUUCCUCAGUUGAUAAAUUGACAAUCAAAAUAUGAUAUAGGUUAUGGAGAUCGAGUGACUGCUUAAUAAGUACUACAUUUGCUUUCGGGGUAAUGAAUAUAUUUUGGAGUGAGAUAGUGAAUGUACUCACUAUCACGAUGGUCACUUUUAUGUCAUAUGAAGUUUACCACAACUCUUUUGAGAGCUAAUAAGGGGUAAGUCUGUAUUUGACUAAGCUUUGAAACAUUUCCAGUUUGGAUAUUAAAUGCUUCAGGGAUAUAUAAGAAAUAAUAUUAAUCACCAGUAGUUUAACAGUAGAUUAAUUGAUUUUUGCCAGGAUCACAGGAAGAAUAAGUUUUCUAGGAGCUCCUUUAACAUAUUGCAAUUUAUUAUAUACCUGUACAGUAAAAUAAAAUACUGUGGGAUUUUUUUGUUUGUCUCCCUAAAAAGGUUGUUCUUUUCUUGGCUGAAAAAUGUUCAAUCCAAAUGCCAGUCCAGUGUCAUUUAAUCCAAAUAAUAUUUUUAGCAUAUGGAUAGCACAUCAAGCUAUAAAAGUACUCAAGUUUAAUUAUCCCUUUUUUAAUUAUGGAAACUGAAGCUUAUAGCAGUUAUUUGACUUUCCUGUCAUAACAUAGAUGGCACCACAUAGUUGGAAUCAAGUGUUUAAAUUCCAAAUCAGCUUUUCUUUCACUGUAAGUCAUACUUCCCGUCACGGUGAUAUGCUGUACCAGAGCAGAGUCCAAUCCCAGCUACAAUAGUGGCACCACAUCUCUCUGUCCUCAUCAGCAACAACUGGUUGCUGCUGUGUCUCUAUGCAACAACAGUCUUAACAUGGUAUCAUCAGUAUUUUAUGUUGUUUAAUUUUUUCUCUUAUUUUUCUAAUUGCACUUCUAUAGAGAUAAAGAAAAAAUGGCCCUCUUUCCUUUAAGGAUAUUUUGCUAAUACACAUAUAUUAAAACUUUAGGUUUUGAUUAAAGAAUGCAAACCUCUGUAAAGCAAUGUCCCCCAAUCCCUUCCUUGUUAUUUACACUUGCUCCAGCUACUGCUGUAGACAGUGUUCUUUCACUUACAUGCAUGUUUUCUUUCUUUAUAGAAUGUUCCAAUUCCUACUUUCACCUUUUCAUUCUCUCCAACCUGUGGCUUUGUAGCUAACAUUUUUCUUAAAACAUAUAUUAAAUUUCCACAAGCAGAGGUUACUCUUCAGAGUUAGUCUCAAGGUGGCUCCUGUCUCCUACCCUUGAGCUCAAGAAAGUUCCAGGCCCUGCAAUACAGACUGGAAUACUUUAAGGAGUGGAUAUGCUGCCCAAAUCUGAAAUCACAAAGCAACAGGUUAUUUUUCACAAUUCUCAAGGCCACAGUUGGCACUGUGUGAAAUCAAAGAACUUAAGAUACAUUUGUUUAGGAAAAUCCAGUUAAAAACUGUCAUGGCCAACUAUCAUGCCAUGUUGUACAGGUAGUCACAAUAAAGAAAAAUAAAGUGAAUUAUAAAGCAUUGGCUUUUAACUUUUUUUUAGUACCAUUUUAAAGCCUGUAGAUGUCCACUUUAGCAUUUUUCUCCUUUAAGCAUUAUUUAUCAGAGGAUACAGAUCUCAUUAUGGAUUUAUGUGAUGUUAUAAACCCACAUGUACAGUACAUAUUCUAGAUUACAUAUUGUCUUAUUUUUUUUUUAAAAAAAAGUCUUUCUUACUUCAAUUAGUCUAAUAGAUAUCAUUGCAUGAUCCUGUUCUUCCCUUUCAAGUUAUUUUCUGCAGAUUGUCUUCCUAUUGUUUUGGAAUACUCUAUCAAUAUGAGGGGUAAUAGCUACUUUAGAUCCCUUAGUUGGGAAUGGAACUUAAACUUCUAAAAUUUCAAUCUUCAAUUUUAGAUUCUUGGUCUCAUUAAAUUUGCAAAAUGAAAAAUCUAAGUGCAAUUCCUGACAGAGAAAUUGUUCCUUAUAUAAUUGUGUUUUUAAAAUUUUUUUAUUUUUUUGACAGGCAGAGUUAGACAGGGAGAGAGAGAGAGAGAGAGAGAGAGAGAGAGGUCUUCCUUUCUGUUGGGUCACCCCCAAAUGGCCGCAAUAGCCAGAGUGCUGCGGCCAGUGCACUGCUCCGAUCUGAAGCCAGGAGCCAGGUGCUUCCUCCUGGUUUCCCAUGCGGGUACAGGACCCAAGCACUUGGGCCAACCUGCACUGCACUUCCAGGCCACAGCAGAGAGCUGGACUGGAAGAGGAGUAACUGGGACAGAAUCCAGCGCCCCAACUGGGAUUAGAACCCAGGGUGCCAGCGCCACAGGUGGAGGAUUAGCCAAGUGAGCCGUGGUGCCGGCCCCCUAUAUAAUUGUUUUAAAAAACAAAAAUAGCUAUGAUAACUAGUUCCUACUCUGAUUUGACUAGAGUUGAAUGUAUGAAAUGCAAAGAAAUAAAGUCAAACAUAAAAGCACAACUCAGCAGGAGAGGGAGAGAGUCCAGCUCCUCCUUUUUGAGCUAUCUUCUCCAUUAUGGAAAGAGCCUCACGAUGUUGAGCCCUGUCUGAAUUUGCAUUCUUUCUGUUUCUGGCCUAAACUGCUAUAUUUUGAGUGUCACAACUCCUUUAUUAGAAAUAUAUACUUUCCUGAAAUUCUUUAUCCUGGCUUCGUAGUAUGUAAAGGAAUGAAAAUAAAUUAUAAUUCAGGGUUUGUAUACUCCAUUUGCUAUACUUUGUCAUUACUAAAAAGCAAACACUGCCUUUAGAACAUGGGUAAUAAUUUGAUAAUUAUUGCAUAAUUAUUUGCUUUAAAAUGUUAAAUUUAUGGCUGGCGCUGCAGCUCACUUGGCUAAUCCUCCGCCUGCGGCGCCGGUACCCCAGGUUCUAGUCCCUGUUGGGGCACCAGUUCUGUCCCGGUUGCUCCUUUUCCAGUCUAGCUCUCUGCUGUGGCCUGGGAAGGUAGUGGAGGAUGGCCCAAGUGCUUGGGCCCUGCACCCACAUGGAGACUAGGAGGAAGCACCUGGCGCCAAGCAUGACAGCCAUUUGGGGGUGAACCAACGGAAGGAAGACCUUUCUCUCUGUCUCUCUCUCACUUUCUAACUCUGCCUGUCAAAAAAAUGUUAAAUUUUUAGCAGUUUUUAAAAUUUCCUGUUUACAAUCUAGAACUACAAUAGUAAGAAAUUCAGAUAUAAUGAAUGAUACUACCAACAAUUACUACCAAUGCCAGGAAUAAUUUUAAAUUAUUUUCUAGCUAGUUAAUUUUCAUUUAAAGCCAACUUUGAAUCCUAAGAUUCAUAUAUUUUCUUUUUUCUCUAUUUUUAAAAAUAUUUAUUUACUUAUCUGGAGGUCAGAGUCACAGAGAGAAGGAGAGAGAGAAAAAGAGAGAGAGAGAGAGAGAGGGAAUCCUCUGUCGGCUGGCACACUCCCCAGAAGGCUGCAAUGACCAGGUUAUGCCAGGCUGAAGCCAGGAGGCAGGAACUUCCUCUGAGUCUCCCAUGUGGGCUGAAUUUCUUGGGCCAUCUUCCUCUGCUUUCCUAGGUACAUCAGCAGGGAGCUAGAUCAGAAGUGGAGCAGCUGGGACUCUCAUUGGAGCACAUAUGGGAUGCUGGCCCUGUAGGCCAUGGCUUAACCUACUGUGCCACAAUGUCACCCCUAUAUUUUCAAAUUUAUAUACAAAAAUAUACACAUAAAGUGUGUUUUAUAAUAUACCACCCAUUAUCAGAGAGCUGAUUAUUAUUAUAUCAAAGACAUACAGACUUUUAGGAAUUGAAGGCAGCACAGAUAUAAUAUUAGUCUGUAUGUGAGUAUUUGCCUAUAUUCUCAUUCCAAGUUUCAUGUGAACUGAAAAUCAUAGCAUAAUAAAAUUUUAGUGCAACUUUAGAGUAUUAAUAAUAUUCAUUUUAUUGUAUAUAUAAUUUUAAUAAAAAAUUUCAAACUGCCUCCACUGGAUUGUUCUAUCUGGAUUUUCUAUUCUGAUUCCUUUUCUCCCAUGCCUAUUUACUUGAUUAUUAAUCAAGACUAAAUUUCAAUAUGAAUAAAUCUAAAGGAUAUUUUUGUUAUAAAUUUUUAAUAAAUAUUUAUUUAUAAGACAGGAGAGGAAAGACAGAAAGCAGACACAUAGACACACACAUAAAGAAAGUGACCAAAAAAAAAAAAGAGAGAGAGAGAGAGUGAACUCUCAUUAACUUGUUCAGUUUCCAAAUUGCCCACAAUUUCCUUUGCUGGGCUGGAACAGAGGCCAGGAGCCAGAAUGUAACCCAAGUCUCCCAUGUGAGUGAUAAGAAUUCAAUUACUUGAUCUGUCACUACUGCUUCCCAGGGCAAUUACUUGAGCCAUCACUACUGCUUUCCAGGGUCUGCAUUAUUAGGAAGCAAGUCAGGAUAUGUAGCUAGGAAGUAAAUUCAGAUUUUAUGGUAUGGGACAUGAGCAUCUAAAAUGCUAAGCUAAAUGUCUCCUCUGCUCCUUUUUAGAAAUUUUGACAUGAAGAACACCUAACUAGAUGCCAUUAUCACCUGGAUGCUGGUUCUAACAAUGUGAUAGCUGAUACCUGUAACUAAUUAGUAAUGAGGGAGACAAGAUUUGGAUGAAACCAUGGAUUUGGGGACAUUUGGGUACAUACCACUUUCAAAAAAUUUAUUUGAGAGACAGAGAGAUAAGAAGAGACAAAUAGAAAGAAAGAGAAAAAGAUAGCUUCCAUCUGCUGGUUCACUCCCCAGAUUCCAAAGCACCCUGGGGACUGAGUUCUGAAGCCACAAACUUCAUCCAGUUCUCCCAUGUGGGUGGUAGGAGCCUGGUUACCUUGCGCUAUCACUGCUGUCUCCCAUGUAUGUAUUGAAUCAGAAGCAGGAGCAUGUGGGUAUUCUAACUGUUGUCUUCAGUUGUAGGCUGACCACCCAUCCCAAUAUCACUUUACCCCAUUUUGCUUUUGAGUGAAUUUCUGGUCCUUUAUGUUUUGCUAGGGCUGGUCUAUGUUGUUAAAAUAUUUUUGUUGGAAGGAUGGGCAUAUUGGAAGAUGAGAUUGCACAGGGGUUAAUGUAAUGUCCACACAAUUGAGAAUUGUUAUUAAAGAGAGACAUUCAGAUUGUCAACAACUGAAGGAACCAAUUAUAUAGCAUAGCUCCUAUUAGAAGAUUCUCUAAAAAUAUAAAUAUUACUUGGUACUAUGACAUGACAUCCAAGAUUUGUAUUUAAAUUUUGUCUGAAUGAGUUAUAUAAUCAAAAUAUGUAAAAACUCAGGGCAAUGAGACUUUGACAAAUAAAUCAUUUAUGUACUGGUGAAAUUUAAUAAUACAUUUAAAGGAAAAUUGAACUGUGAACUGAGUAAAGCAGGCACCUCUGCAUUGAUUUCUAACCUUUAUGAUGUGCAUGGCCUGAAUAAGAAUUAAAUCUUGGAAGAGAAUGAGAGAUUAUAGCAGUGGGGUUGAGAACACUGAUUUAAAAUAAAUAAAAUUCAUUUUAUUUCAUAUGUGGGAUUUCCAGAUAAGAAAGCUUCUAUUUUAAUAAAAAGUUGCAGAUAGUUAACUAGCUAUUGGUGCCCACUUUAAGGGAUUCCAACAUUUUGUCCCCAACCCCUACCUUAAAAGAAAAGAUUUUUGUUAGAUGUUACUUCCCAUUUGCAAAAAAAUAGAGCAAAUUUAUCUCUGUUAUUUUGUGUGUAUGUGCACUUGUGUGUGUAUGUCUGAUCACCUCUAUACCUGGGACAAUGCAUAAUGGCAAGGCCAUGUGUUUUAAUCAAGAAUCAAGGGAAAAAUGGUGCCUUUCAACAAUAACUCCAUUUGAUUCAUAUUUUUGCUUUACUCACUCCUGGUAGACUCCACUAUAGUUUGGUAAUGUCUAUACAACUUAGAUUUGUUUGUUUCAAUGGACAUUUCCAAUAUUCCUCAGUGAUAAUUGUGAUCAGGGUGACAGCUUUCUGGAUCUGGCCUAUUCUCCAAGUUAGAGUCCUUGUCCCUUUUCUCCUUAGAAUGAUGUUUGUCUGAAUGGAAGCCAGUGGGCUGACUUCAUCCUGCUCUCCUUUUGUUCUGGCUUGUUGAGCUUAUGUUGUCUUCCAAGUUUUGUCUCAUAGUUGUGGUGGAUGGGUGUGAUCUCUGGACAACAAGUUUAUGUGGGCAGGGACUUGUACAGACAAAGCUCUGUAUUUUCCAGAGUUUGGAUAUGGACAAAGACAGAACUCCCUAGAUUAGACUUUUCUUCUCAGUGCAGAAGCAUAAACAUGAUUUCUUAUUCUAUGGAUUAUUGAGAAAAUGACGGACUGACUGCAUUGUAGUUCCAGAGCUCGAUGGUCAAUCAAAAGGGACAUAGCAAGGAUCUGGGCAGACUGCUGGAGACCAGGAGAGAGACAGAGGUUACUUGAUCAGUCCUGUUAACUGACAAAUGGUAGCCACCUCAGUGAUAGAAUAGUGUUUACGCCGGCGCCACGGCUCAAUAGGCUAAUCCUCCACCUUGCGGCGCCGGCACACCGGGUUCUAGUCCCAGUCAGGGCACCGGAUUCUGUCCCGGUUGCCCCUCUUCCAGGCCAGCUCUCUGUUCUGGCCAGGGAGUGCAGUGGAGGAUGGCCCAAGUGCUUGGGCCCUGCACCCGAAUGGGAGACCAGGAGAAGCACCUGGCUCCUGCCUUCGGAUCAGCGCGAUGCGCCAGCAGCAGCGCGCCGGCCGCCGUGGCCAUUGGAGGGUGAACCAACGGCAAAGGAAGACCUGUCUCUCUGUCUCUCUCACUGUCCACUCUGCCUGUCAAAAAUUAAAAAAUAAAAAAUAAAAAAAGAAUAGUGUUUACAUUAGGUCUAUUUCUUUUUUUAAGAAAUACAGAGAUAAUAAGGAAACACAUACCUCCAGUGUCUAUCAUUAAAAAUUUGUUUUGAUGCCUAGUUCUUUUUAUCUUAAGGGCUCAGAGAGGAUUUAUCAGCUGUGGAUCAGUUCUGGCAAGGAAGAAACUCCCUACCCACUCACUGGUGUCAGGGAAAAGCUAAAAUGAGAUUGAUUAGAUUCAAAAUUGUAACUAUAAAUCUCAAAGUCCUGAUGGUUUAUUCUUAAACUUGAGUACCUCACACAUAAAGAUCUCAUGCAAUCAGCAUUAUACAUUACAAAACUAAUUACCAAGCACUUUCUCUAUCCCAGGUGCCUGGUAAUAGAUCUUCAUUGAAUAACUUUAUCUUGGAAAGAACAAUUUUAAAUUUUCCUCUCUGCUUUUCCACCUGGCUAACAGAGCUUUUUUGGAAAAUUUAUUAUUGUUGGCUAUGAAAUUAAAAUGAAGUACAAUUUUUUUUACCUUUAUACAUUUUUUGGGGGGUAGACUCUUGAAGACCUCUGUUCCAUUUCCUAGCUUCCAGGUGGCCUGUAUUUUUGUAAGGAUUUUCUGAUAUCCAGUCAUACUUUUGAAUCCACCUACAAAUAUUUAUUUAACACCUACUGUUACCGGAGAAAUUGCAGGGUUCUUGUCUUUGCGCAAGAAAGAAUUCAGGCGUGAGACAGAGUAUUGGGAGGUAAAAUAGCAAGGUUUAUUAGGGAAGUGAUAUCCGAAAGGAUGGAUGGGCACCUCUCCAGACAGGACCUGGGAGGGUGCCCAGUUGCUUGGAUUGGGGGGGGUGGGAACGAGGUUACAUGGUUGGGUGGAGAGAUGACACCUGGCCAGACCAGGUGGGUGACUCAGCAUAGAGGCAGAGGGUGAGCUCGCGGUCCAGUUGAGGCGCGGAUGUGUGUGUGUGUGUGUGUGUGUGUGUGUUAAGGAGAUGGGUCUUGCUUCCCCACCUCUGCUCCUCUUGGAACAAAGGGCUUUUUGGAUGUAAAUAGAAAAACUUCUAUCUGAGUUUUCCCCUGAAGGUAUCAGACAGGAGGAAGCCUAGCUUGCGCCAUCCGCCAUCCUGAGUUUAGAGGAAGGGUGAGCAAGACCCCUGGAGAAUGGGGAUCCGGAGCAGGGUGUUUGAAGUGCAGAUUCUGGGCUGCAUCUGGGAGAUUGUGGAAGAUUUGUCAGGCAGAAGGGGCAGGGACCUCCACCUGCCAGGUUUUCAGGUAGAAAGGGGCAGGGCAGGAUGCAAAUACCUGGCUGCCCCUGAAACAUUGUCAGGAUGACUUUGAGAUGCAGAUGCAUAUGCUGGACGUAGAAGUCUUCUCCAGAGGCCUUUGUCAUACACACAUAAGCUCAUACCUAACUUCCUGCCUAACACUACUGUAUGCCCAGAAUUUUUUUUCAGUAUCAGAAAGAAAAUUUUAUAAUCACAUUCAAUCCUAAAGCCUGUUCUGGAUGACUAAUCUGUAAAUUUCAACCAUAUCUUAGGUUGAGUUUCCCAGUAUUUGAUCUUGAGGUUAUUAAUAAUACAUUAUGCCUCUCCUAAAAUAGUUGUUGAAAGAAUUUAGCUAGAGGAAGCAUUUUAUGGAUGUGCAAAUUUGCUCAAUGUAUCUCGCAGAAACAGAAUGAUUAAAAGGAGAGGAUGGACAGUAUUUGUCACAGACUUGCCAGUAUAAUGAUAAUGAUAAUUUCUGCCAGAAUCAUAGAGAAUUCCCUCUUAUAUGCAUUAUAUUCUUUUUAUUAUUUCUACAACCUUGUAAGGCCAUCACCAUGUAAUUUAGGAUGUUUUAACAUUAUCUGAAAAUCCUAAAACACCAGUUUCAUUCCAUGGAAUGUACAUUGCCAGUCUUAGAAAACAGAUGUCACUAAGUAUCAUCUGAAGACAAAAUCCACCUAUCCAUUUUGUGUGUUCACUUAAUGUUAACAUCUUUGUGAAAGUCAGUCAAUAAUAAAGUAAAUAUAAAAAAUUAAAUACUGGAAAUACAUUUAUUUUAAUGCAUUCUGUUAAUCUAGAUAAAACAUUGUCUGGAGGAUAACUUGGACCUAGAACAGCUUCACACCUCAUGGCUUGUUUUAAGGAAACCUAAGAACAUGUCACUCACAGUGGCCCCUUAGUGGCCAUUCUGAAUGUGUAUUUUAACAGAUUCUCAAUUCUCAAUUGUGGAUUAACUUCCAAUUAUCCUGAUGACUUGGCUUUAUUGUAUUGCUGUGAUAGAAGCUGCUUUUCCUGUAAAAGAGAAGUUACUAUAAUUUUGUUGUGAACAGAGUUAUGUAUGACUGAUGAAAAGAAAAAGCAAGAACUUACCAACUUUCAUUCAGUGAUAAAUGAGAACUGGAAAAUUUACUCUGUUGUUAAAAACCACAGUCUCUUCAAUAGCAAAUAAUCUUUUACAAGGUUUAUCUAUUUGAGAGGGGGAGAAUGGAGGGAGACAGAGACAGAGAGAGAGGGAAAGAGAAAUCUCAUCUGCUGAUUCACUCACUAAAGACCCAGGACAGCCAGAUGUGGGAUGCGGCAGAAGCCAGGAAAUUAGUCUAGAUCACCACAUGAGUGGCAGGAACGUAAUUACUUAAGUCAUCAGCACUGCCUACCAAAGUCUGUACUAGCAGAAAGCUGGAGUCAGGAACCAUGGCCGAAGGUGGAAUCCAAGUAGUCCAGUGUGGGACAUGAGUAUCUUCACUGGCAUCUCAACUUCUAUGCUAAAUGCCCAACCACAGCACAAGAUCUUUGAGAAUUCCUUGAAGAGGAAGCAAUUUAAAGCAUGAAAGAGAAAAACAAAUGACUGCUGGCAACUCCUGAUGAGUACAAGUGUGGUUUUUACACUCUGAAAACAGUGUUUUGUACAUUGCCCCUAUGUUUCCAACAUGCAGGAUCCUCCCAUCUGCUAGCUAGCAGUCAUGGACUCCUGAGAGGGCAGCAGUGGGAGGAAAGUGUAUUAGCAAACAAUGGUCUCGCUGCUCCUAAGGGACCAUUGCUAUGGCACUGACAAAAGGAAGUGAAGUCUCUCUUUAUUAAAAAAUGUUAUAUGUGAGAAAUUUCUAUUCAUUGUGAUUCUUGACACAUAUACUACAAUUAUUUAAAGAAUGCUUAGUAUGGAUGUUUAUGGAUAUACUUCCCUUUAUCCUUAGCAGUGUAUGUAAUAGGGAGGGUCAGUGUUUAAGAUGACAAAUAAAAGACUAGAAGGGUCAAGUGAUUUGCAUAAGAUGUAAAAAUCAAGUAGAUUUCAGGUCAGAAACUAAUAGACCUUAAAUAUUUCAGUUGAAAACACAGUCACCAUUGUGCAAUGAACUAAUUAUUGAUCUAUGCAUUCCAAGGAAAGCAAUAGGUUUCAAAUUUUUUCUCAUCAGUUUUUUUUAAAAUAUGUAUUUCUUUAUUUGAAAGAGCUAAAGAGAGAGAGAGAGGAGGGGAGAGAGAGAGAGAUCUUCCAUAAGCUGGCUCAUUCCCCAGAUGGCCUCAAUGGCCAGGGCUGAGACAGGCCAAGGAGCUUCAUCAUGUUUUUUCAAAUGGGUGCAGAAGCCCAAACACUUGAGCCAUCUUCUGCUGCUUUUUCCAGACCAUUAGCAGGUAGCUGGAUCACAAGUAGAGCAGCCAGGACAUGAACUGACGUUCAUUUGGGAGGCUGGCAUCAGAGGUGGAGGCUUUACCCACUAUGCCAUCAUGCCGACCCCUCUCUCUAGUUUUUGAAAACUCUUUAGGCACCUGCAGUGCCUUCUUUAUGCAGUGUUUCUUUAUGCAGUGCCUUCUUUAUCUCAGUGUUUCCACAAAGAGAGUGCACAUGAUGCUCACUUAUUAGAGGCAGCCUUCUUCCUUCCAGAAUCCCCAGGAGGACUUCAGCAGGCCACAGUGCAGUGCCCAUGCUGAUGACAAGGUAUGUUUGAUCAUACCCAUCACCAUAAGCUUGAUCCAUAUUGAUAUUUUUCUCUGCAUAAGGCAUGAACAUCCCUAGCUUCACUCCUUCCACAGGGACACAGGAAGUCCACUCUGAUAUGGUGUAGGUACCCUAAGUGGUGGCUCAACAUGCUGAACUACAGUGCCCACCCUUGUGUUUAUUUAAACUACAGUUGAACACGUUGACAUACAAUAGCCUCCUGUAUUGGACAAUGCAUACCUUCUCUUUUAAAAUGUUGGAGGUGUGAAUGCCAGAUGGUGACAUUGUUUUGUGACUGUAUGCUAUCUACAAGCUACCAAAGCAGGUAGAGGCUGGAGGUAGAAUCUGCUUUAGAAGGAGACUGAUGUCUCAGCUGCCUUAGGGAUGCUAUGAAACAAGCCUUGUGCUGAGUAGAACAUUAUGAUAUUCACUUGAAUGAAGAGUAGAUAGAAAUACUCAUGUUCAAGUUGAGGAAACUGACAUUCACAAAGUUUCAAAUUACUUGUCCAGUUAAGUAGCAGGAAUCAGCCCAUCCUGUCAUCUCUAACUCACCACCAUGAGCAUUGCCUCAAUGUGUGUGUACAAUGGUGAUGUCCUAGAUAUCCCAGAAAAGCCAGAUGGGAGGCAAUUCAAGGGUAUUUAAUGAAAUGUUGCCUAUUUGUCUAUCAGGCUAUGCUUUGAUUCCUCUGUUGACUUUUACAGCAUUUGAUGUCUAUACCUUACUCAAGAAAUUAUUAAGAGAAUGUAUUGCGAAAACAUGCGCCAGCGCUGCAGCUCACUAGACUAAUCCUCCACCUUGCGGCGCCAGCACAACAGGUUCUAGUCCUGGUCGGGCGCCAGAUUCUGUCCCGGUUGCCCCUCUUCCAGUCCAUCUCUCUGCUGUGGCCAGGGAGUGCAGUGGAGGAUGGUCCAAGCGCUUGGGCCUUGCACACCAUGGGAGACCAGGAUAAGUACCUGGCUCCUGCCUUCGGAUCAGCGCGGUGCGCUGGCCGCGGUGCGCUGGCCGCAGUGCGUUGACCGCAGCGCACCAGCCGCGGCGGCCAAUGGAGAGUGAACCAAUGGCAAAGGAAGACCUUUCUCUCUGUCUCUCUCUCUCACUGUCCACUCUGCCUGUCAAAAAAGAAAAAAAAGAAAGAAAACAUGCAAGCUGAAUGGUGGAAACAGUGAAUCCGGCUUCUCAUUACUGAUCACCUUUUCAGUGAAAAACACUUCUUCACCUCUUUUGUGGCAAGAACUGCUGGGUAGUUAAAAAUCUUCUGCAUAGCUUGGCAGGAUGUCAGAGGAUCAGCGUCACAUGGAUCAUGUCACACAAGCAGAGACACCAACUGGAAAAUGUAGAAUCAGGUCGUCCAUGGGGAUGCCUGAGGUUGCAGCACUUCAGAGUGAAGGAGCCACAGGACGUCUGAGAAGUAGGAUCAGACAGGUUGCGUCAGGAAGGACAGUUCCUUUUGAUGUGAAAUAUCUGUCAGCGAGUAGUCAUUCAAAAUGCUCGACAGGAAGUCUCAGAGUUGAGGAGACUUACUAUGAAUGUAGAUGAUGAUCAAACUCAAUUGAUUUGAAUAUCAUUUUUUAGUGUUUUUUGAGGGAGGUUGGAUUUAUAUCUAUUUUAGUUUUUUUAAAAAAAUCACUUAAAAUGUAGAGAGUAUAUACAUAAACAUAUAUACUAUUUUUUUCUUAAAAAUUGAAAUGUUAAGAUCACAGAGUGAGGGUUUCAAGAUAAUGAUUGUGAAGUGGUGAAAGAAAAGUAUAUUGCUGUUUACAUGACAUGGUUCAGUGAAGCAAUAUUUAUAAUUAAGUAUCAAGUGAUAUAGCACCCAUACAGUUUUUAAACUCUCUCUAUAGACUAACUUCCAAAAAUAAGAGAAAGUAUACUUGCCUUUCUGGGUUUGGCUUAUUUCACUUAGUAUGUUAUGGUCUUCGGUUAUAUCUAUUCAUUUGCAAAUUUCAGGAUUUCAUUCUUGCUCAAAACUGAGUCAUAUUCUAUCAUAUGUCUAUAUAUUUAUAUAUGUAUAUAUAAAAUAUGUUCUUUUUCCAAUCAUCAGUUAAUGGGCAUCUGGGUUGAUUCCAUAUCUUAGCUAUUAUGGACUGAGCUGCUAUAAGCAUGGGAGUACAGGUAUGUUCUUGAUAUGCUGAGUUCAUUUCCUACAAAUACAUUCUCAGGAGUGUGAUGACUAGGUCAUGUGGAAGAAGUAUUUUUAGUUUUCUGAGGCAUCUCCAUACUGUUUUCCCUAACAGUUGUACCAAUCUCACUAUUUUUGCUUUUAUUGUCUGUGCUUCUUGGGUCUUAUCCAAGAAGCCUUUGCCAAGGACAAUUCUUGCAGCAUUUCUCCUAUGUUUUCCUCUGUUAAUUUGGUGGUUUCUGGUAUUAAAUUUAGAUCCUUGAUCCAUUGAGAGUUGAUUUUUGUGAAGGGUUUAAGGUAAGGGUCUUGUUUUCUGCAUAUGGAAAUCCAAUUUUCGCAACAACACUUGUUGAAGAGAUUGUAUUUUCUACAGGGAGUGAUUUUAGCUUGUUUGUCAAAGAUUAGUUGGUUGUAGAUGUGUGGAUUAAUUUCUGGGGUUUCUAUUCUGUUCCAUUAGUCCACAUGUCUAUUUUUGCACCAGUACCAGGCUGUUUUGAUUAUAACAGCCCCGUAGUAUGUCUUGAAAUAUGGUAUCAUGAUGCCUACAGCUUUGUUUUUAUUGGUUAAGAGUGCUUUUGGCUAUGUGUGGUCCCCUCUCUAUCCAUUUAAAUUUUAGUAUUGUUUUUUAUAAUUCUCUGAAGAAUUUCUUUGUAAUUUUGAUUGGGAUUACAUUGAAUGAGCUAAUAUGGACAUUUUUAUAUUAAUUCUU